rnacentral:rRNA from 1 species
AUUGAACGCUAGCGGCAUGCUUAACACAUGCAAGUCGAACGGCAGCAUGCGAAACAAUCCUUCGGGGGCGUUUUGUGAUGGCGAGUGGCGGACGGGUGAGUAACGCGUAGGAAUUUACCUUAUAGUGGGGGAUAACCCGGGGAAACUCGGACUAAUACCGCAUAGUCUCUACGGAGUAAAGCGGGGGAUCUUUUGACCUCGUGCUAUAAGAUGAGCCUGCGUCGGAUUAGCUUGUUGGUGGGGUAAUGGCCUACCAAGGCGACGAUCCGUAGCUGGUCUGAGAGGACGAUCAGCCACACUGGGACUGAGACACGGCCCAG